GGGGCAUCCACAACCUCCCUCACACAACAGAAGUAAAUGAAAAACUAGAGCCUUUGUUAAUUUCAUAGCGUGCCAGUAAGGCAAAAUUGCAGCCCAUCUUCCUGAGAAAGGGCAGAGAUCAUGUCUCCAGUCAGCACCCGGUCCACGACAUGUUGACUCUCCCAGUAUCAUGCUGUCUCUUGCACCAAGCGGCGCUUUUCUGAGCAGAUGGUGAAGCAUUUCAGAACACAAACCCCCUGAAAUUUCUGGGCUUUAUGGGCUUGUUGAGUAGUCACUUGAAUGUCAGAGCUGGCAGUGAAGCAGCCAAAGAAAACGACAGGGAGACAGAGGUGCCUCCAUGCAGCACUGAGCUGUGCGAUUAACAGACGGCCUCGAGAAAGCUUUGCCUUAAAAACUCGAAGUAGAGCUAGAACCACCACCGCGGGGCAGGGCGGGCCCCGCCGCUCCCUCAGGCGGCCGCCAGAAACACAGAGGCCGUUUCCCGGCGCCAUGGGGGAGCGCGGCGACUCCGAAGGGCUGGAGAUGGAGCUGGGGAGGGAGAGGCGGAGGCAGCAAAUGCUUGAAAAUUCAAUAUCUGAAUUGAGAAAAACUGUAACAGAACUGGAGAAGAAGCUUAGCAGUGUUGAAGAUGAAGGUAAUGAGUGGAAAACCAGAUAUGAGAUGCAAGUAGAAUUGAACAGGCAGCUGCAAAGGCAAAUUAAUAUUCUUAAAGACAAGGUGGAGCUUAUUCGUGGAAAUCCAACAGAUAAACUGGCCAUUGUUCGCAUCUUUGAUCAAAUGCCUGUGGGCUCCUUAAAGGAGGUUCUCGAACAACUAAAAGAAGAGAAGAAAAGUCUCCAGAAUCAGCUAAAAGAUUAUGAACUAAGACUGGAACAAGAGGCAAAGGCUUACCACAAAGCUAACGAUGAGCGGCGCAUGUACCUUUCAGAGAUUUUGCAGACCUCAGCUAUGCUUAAAACUGCUGAAAGGCAAAAACCAGAUGCUCUGACAAGCAAGGGAGAAAAUCAGACACUGAGGCUGAGAGGGAGAUGCAACGUUCCGCAAAGCUUGAAGAUGGUUAAUCCCCAAAAAGGACCAAUUAAAAAGACUGCAGGAGUGAAGCAGCUUCCAAAACUAAACCCCUGAUUUAUUAUACUUUCUGUUUAACUGAAAUUUUCUGAAUUGAAAAUGAAUGUAUUUAUGCUUUACUGCACCAAACCCAGACCAGCACAUCUUCCUGGCAGCCGUAGUGUUACAGCCUGGAACCCCGUUCUCCCGGACUACAUUUGUACACAGCUUCACCAAGUGUAGAUCGUGCCUGACCAAUGUGGUGGCCUUCUACAAUGGAGUGAUGACAUCAGUGGACAAAGGAAAGGCAACUGAUGUCAUCUACCUAGACUUGCGCAAGGCCCUUGAUGUGGUCCCACAGCACUUUCUUUUCUGAAUUGGAAAGGGAUGAAGGAUGACAUUGCAGCUAUGUUGGUGCAGACUCUUAACAGCUGCAGCCGCCACAUCUGAUUGAAAAUAAUUACUGGUGAAUAUCCAUGUCAUGUUAUUCUCCAAUGAGCAGAGCCCAGCAGUGACACUCCAGUUUUUGAGGGAAAACCUCAAUGAUGGAAAGAAGGGCUCACCUUGAGGUGUGGCUGGUCAUACUCUUUGUUCCCCACUGCCCUGCAGCACAGCACCAGAUGCCUCCUGCAGCGAUCCAAGCCCUCUCACACGUUUCUCUUGGAGAAUCUGCUCAGGAAUGAUGUGGUUUGACUGAGCACUGUGGGCUGGGGAGCAGACGAGUCAUGCACAGCUGAAGAGUUAUUUUUGGGAGCUGGAUGAAGCAAGAAGGGUGUGCCCCUUGACUCAUGGCAUGCUGGUUAGGAAUAGAAUACUGAUAUGUCUUGAAAGAAAGAGAAGAAGGAAAUACAAAUUUGGGAAUUGUGUGGCCCAAUCCAGUGCUUAGAAGUCAAACAUCUAUGUCUGAGCUAAUCCUUGUAUGUUCCAUGUGUAGGCAAUGGAAAGAACAGAAACUUCGAGAGAGAAGUUUCUCUUGUUCUAUCAAGAACAACAACAAGUCAGCUCACAACAAGUCCUGUUCUUCAAACGCUGUAUUUACAGUGUGUGGUGAUCUAUUCUCAAGUUACAUUGGCACUUACAAGGGCAAAUUACCUCGUUUUUUUCUUACUUUUGAAGAGGUUUGGCAAGCUCUGUGCAAUUUGGAAUUGAAAGCAACAAACAUGUGCAUUAUUCUAAAAAGCCCUUCUAAAAUGUAUGGAACCCCAGGACACAGGUGGGGAAGUACAGCCCAUAGAUCAAUGCACUACAGGCCUCAGAAGAAAUGUGGUGCAAUCAUUUGGUAGGAAUCAAUAACAUAGAGAUCAAUAUUUUUUGUGUUCCUGUCUCUUAAAAAGCUGAGCUAGGAAUUUACUAAUGACAGGUCAGAUUAUUGGCCGGGCAAAGUUGUUCUGGAAGGAUUAAAAUAGUGUGCAGGUCCUGCCAGGCCUGCAGUGGCUGGCAGCAUAACUUAAUUAUUAUAAUGUAUUUCUGCACCAAAGAAAAUUUGCCCAAAUACACUUAAAGUGUUUGGAUGAAAUCAUCUGCCGUCAGAAGUCAUUGGUCCUUCCUUAGGCCAAGCCUUUUGUCUCUGAUUGGUACAUGAAAAGAAGGGACAAAUGCCACUCGUGUGCUGAUCACAGAAUGGUUGGAGAUGGCAAGGACUUCUGGAGGCCACCUGGCCCAACCCAGCCCCAGCAGGGACACCACAGAGGGGUGCCCAGGGCCUUGUCCAGGCCGCUCUGGGAGAUCCCUGAGGAAGAGACCUCACAACCUCUGGGAAACCUGUGCUCCAUCAUCGAUACAACACAGAAAUGCUCCUGGUGUUUGGAGGGAACCUCCUGUGCUCCACUCUGUGCUCAUGGCCCCUGGUCCUGGCCCUGGAGAGAACCCCACAGCACUGGGCACCCAGCAACCAGCACUGCCUCAGUAGUGGAGGUCUCCAGCUGCUGCCUGUCCUGUCAGAUUUGCACUUGUUGAUAACAAUGACACAAAUAACAGAUCCCUAAAAUGCAGGAGUGAUUUACUUUAAGCACUUUAGCACCUGCUGUUACUCAUUAAGAGAUUACCAUGCCCCAGAUUGUUACUGGCGGCCCAGUGCCGACCAUUUCAGCAUGCAGCACAUUCCUACGAGUUCCCUUCUCAUGGAUGCUUGCUCUUGUGUUCUCUGCUAUCUGCAGCAUGUGAUUUCUCACCGUAACAUUUCAUAGUACCACAAACUCAUUCCUUCAUCACAUUACAUUAAAGCUGGCCACAUGGAAGCCUGAGUCACAGGAGAGCUCAGCUGCUCUGAGCUGGCCCGGUGGCUUCCUGGCACCAUCUGUUGUCUGACACCAGCUCUGGACACUGCUGUGCCCCACUGGAGCUGCCUCUCCUCCCCUGGUCUAACCAGCAAAGCAUUAACCAAAAGUGCUUUGAAUUGUACUACUUAAUACAGCUCUGUGGACUACUUGUCUGGUCAAGGAGUGAACAUCAAGGAACAGCAGUAAGUGCCCACAACAGUUAUCAAUUACCAAGGAUGAAAUAAGGAGAUGUCUGUGCCCAAAGACCAGAACAUUAGGAAAAGAACACUUAGACAUUCCAUAGAACAGACAGAUCCUGCUUCCUUCCCAUCCAGAGCUCUGGUGAUGUGCAAAAUAACAUUAGGAAAAAAAAGGAGGGGGAAAAGAAGGAAAAAAAUCCAAUAGCAGAAGUAGAGAAGCAAUGUAAAUAAAAGUUAUAAGUGGCUGCAA